rnacentral:rRNA from 1 species
AACGAACGCUGGCGGCAGGCUUAACACAUGCAAGUCGAACGCCCCGCAAGGGGAGUGGCGCACGGGUGAGUAACGCGUGGGAACCUACCUAUCGGUACGGAAUAACACAGGGAAACUUGUGCUAAUACCGUACGAGCUCUACGGAGGAAAGAUUUAUCGCCGAUAGAUGGGCCCGCGUCCGAUUAGCUAGUUGGUGAGGUAACGGCUCACCAAGGCUUCGAUCGGUAGCUGGUCUGAGAGGAUGAUCAACCACACUGGGACUGAGACACGGCCCAGACUCCUACGGGAGGCAGCAGUGGGGAAUAUUGGACAAUGGGCGCAAGCCUGAUCCAGCCAUGCCGCGUGAGUGAUGAAGGCCUUAGGGUUGUAAAGCUCUUUCGUCGGGGAAGAUAAUGACGGUACCCGAAGAAGAAGCCUCGGCUAACUCCGUGCCAGCCGCCGCAGUAAUAC